ACAUUUCGAACGCACAUUGCGGUCCACGGAUCCAAUUCCNGGACCACACUUGGCUGAGGGUCGUUUAUUAUAUAAAAACUGCUUACAAUUACUUGUAAUUGUACAAGCGAUGAAUGUGUGUAAACUUUAAAUGAAUGUUUUUCAUUGUCUAAAAAUUUGAUUAUAUAAAUAAGACAAUGUCAUUUUAAAUUAUUAUACAUACUCGAUUUAAUGAAUUGUCAUUAUAAUCGUUUAUCGAGUCUAUGAAUUAUAGAAAUAAAUCAGACCGAUGAAUAUUUUCAUAUAAAUCGUUAUAUUACUUUGACGACCUCAGAUUAAGUGAGACUACCCGCUGAAUUUAAGCAUAUUACUAAGCGGAGGAAAAGAAA
rnacentral:rRNA from 1 species